rnacentral:rRNA from 1 species
GACGAACCGUGCGAACGUUGUUCGGAUUCACUGGGCUUAAAGGGCGCGUAGGCGGGCUGCCAAGUCCGGGGUGAAAUCUUUCGGCCUAACCGGAAAAGUGCCUUGGAUACUGGCGGCCUGGAGGGAGGUAGGGGCACGCGGAACUUCCGGUGGAGCGGUGAAAUGCGUAGAUAUCUGGAGGAACACCGGUGGCGAAGGCGGCAUCCUGGACCAACACUGACGCUGAGUGAGCGAAAGCCAGGGGAGCAAACGGG